rnacentral:rRNA from 1 species
CCUACGGGCGGCUGCAGUAGGGAAUCUUUCACAAUGGGCGAAAGCCUGAUGGAGCAACGCCGCGUGCAGGAUGAAGGCCUUCGGGUUGUAAACUGCUUUUAUAAGCGAGAAAUAUGAUGGUACCUUAUGAAUAAGGAUCGGCUAACUACGUGCCAGCAGCCGCGGUCAUACGUAGGGUCCGAGCAUUAUCCGGAGUGACUGGGUGUAAAGAGGUGCAGGUGGCAUAAUAAGUAGCUAGUGUAAUCUGGUGGCUCAACCAUUCAGACUAUUGUCUAAACUGUUGAGCUCGAGACCGUUAGGGGUAAGUGGAAUUUCUAGUGUAGGAGUGAAAUGCGUAGAUAUUAGAAGGAACACCAAUAGCGAAGGCAGGUUACUGGGACGGUUCUGACACUAAGGCACGAAAGCGUAGGGAGCAAACAGGAUUAGAUACCCGAGUAGUC